rnacentral:rRNA from 1 species
GCUGGCGGCAUGCCUAACACAUGCAAGUCGAACGAGGCCCUUCGGGGUUUAGUGGCGCACGGGUGCGUAACGCGUGGGAAUCUGCCCUUUGGUUCGGAAUAACAGCUGGAAACGGCUGCUAAUACCGGAUGAUGACGAAAGUCCAAAGAUUUAUCGCCAGAGGAUGAGCCCGCGUUGGAUUAGGUAGUUGGUGGGGUAAAGGCCUACCAAGCCGACGAUCCAUAGCUGGUCUGAGAGGAUGAUCAGCCACACUGGGACUGAGACACGGCCCAGACUCCUACGGGAGGCAGCAGUGGGGAAUAUUGGACAAUGGGCGAAAGCCUGAUCCAGCAAUGCCGCGUGAGUGAUGAAGGCCCUAGGGUUGUAAAGCUCUUUUACCCGGGAAGAUAAUGACUGUACCGGGAGAAUAAGCCCCGGCUAACUCCGUGCCAGCAGCCGCGGUAAUACGGAGGGGGCUAGCGUUGUUCGGAAUUACUGGGCGUAAAGCGCACGUAGGCGGCUUUGUAAGUCAGAGGUGAA